rnacentral:piRNA from 1 species
UAAUACUGAGCCUCAAUGGAGUCCAGAGU